GACGAACGCUGGCGGCGUGCCUAAUACAUGCAAGUAGAACGCAGUUGCGAACGGGUGAGUAACGCGUAGGUAACCUGCCCCAUAGCGGGGGAUAACUAUUGGAAACGAUAGCUAAUACCGCAUACUGUGAGGUGGACCUGCGUUGUAGUAGCUAGUUGGUGAGGUAAAGGCUCAACAAGGCGACGAUACAUAGCCGACCUGGGAGGGUGAUGAGCCGGACUGGGACUGAUACACGGGCCAGACUCCUCCGGGAGGCAGCAGUAGGGAAUCUUCGGCAAUGGACGAAAGUCUGACCGAGCAGCGCCGGGUGAGUGAAGAAGGUUUUCGGGUCGUAAAACGCUGUUGUUAGAGAAGCGGUAGCUAACCAGAAAGCCACGGCUAACUACGUGCCAGCAGCCGCGGUAAUUC
rnacentral:rRNA from 1 species